GGGAAACCGAGUCUUAACUGGGCGUUAAGUUGCAGGGUAUAGACCCGAAACCCGGUGAUCUAGCCAUGGGCAGGUUGAAGGUUGGGUAACACUAACUGGAGGACCGAACCGACUAAUGUUGAAAAAUUAGCGGAUGACUUGUGGCUGGGGGUGAAAGGCCAAUCAAACCGGGAGAUAGCUGGUUCUCCCCGAAAGCUAUUUAGGUAGCGCCUCGUGAAUUCAUCUUCGGGGGUAGAGCACUGUUUCGGCUAGGGGGUCAUCCCGACUUACCAACCCGAUGCAAACUACGAAUACCGAAGAAUGUUAUCACGGGAGACACACGGCGGGUGCUAACGUCCGUCGUGAAGAGGGAAACAACCCAGACCGCCAGCUAAGGUCCCAAAGUCAUGGUUAAGUGGGAAACGAUGUGGGAAGGCCCAGACAGCCAGGAUGUUGGCUUAGAAGCAGCCAUCAUUUAAAGAAAGCGUAAUAGCUCACUGGUCGAGUCGGCCUGCGCGGAAGAUGUAACGGGGCUAAACCAUGCACCGAAGCUGCGGCAGCGACACUAUGUGUUGUUGGGUAGGGGAGCGUUCUGUAAGCCGUUGAAGGUGGCCUGUGAGGGUUGCUGGAGGUAUCAGAAGUGCGAAUGCUGACAUAAGUAACGAUAAUGCGGGUGAAAAACCCGCACGCCGGAAGACCAAGGGUUCCUGUCCAACGUUAAUCGGGGCAGGGUGAGUCGACCCCUAAGGCGAGGCCGAAAGGCGUAGUCGAUGGGAAACAGGUUAAUAUUCCUGUACUCGGUGUUACUGCGAAGGGGGGACGGAGAAGGCUAUGUUGGCCGGGCGACGGUUGUCCCGGUUUAAGCAUGUAGGCGGAUGUUCCAGGUAAAUCCGGAACGUCACUAACGCUGAGGUGUGAUGACGAGGCACUACGGUGCUGAAGUGACAAAUGCCCUGCUUCCAGGAAAAGCCUCUAAGCAUCAGGUAACAUCAAAUCGUACCCCAAACCGACACAGGUGGUCAGGUAGAGAAUACCAAGGCGCUUGAGAGAACUCGGGUGAAGGAACUAGGCAAAAUGGUGCCGUAACUUCGGGAGAAGGCACGCUGAUGGUAGGUGAAGCGACUUGCUCGUGGAGCUGAAAUCAGUCGAAGAUACCAGCUGGCUGCAACUGUUUAUUAAAAACACAGCACUGUGCAAACACGAAAGUGGACGUAUACGGUGUGACGCCUGCCCGGUGCCGGAAGGUUAAUUGAUGGGGUUAUCCGUAAGGAGAAGCUCUUGAUCGAAGCCCCGGUAAACGGCGGCCGUAACUAUAACGGUCCUAAGGUAGCGAAAUUCCUUGUCGGGUAAGUUCCGACCUGCACGAAUGGCGUAAUGAUGGCCAGGCUGUCUCCACCCGAGACUCAGUGAAAUUGAACUCGCUGUGAAGAUGCAGUGUACCCGCGGCAAGACGGAAAGACCCCGUGAACCUUUACUAUAGCUUGACACUGAACACUGGUCCUUGAUGUGUAGGAUAGGUGGGAGGCUUUGAAGUGUGGACGCCAGUCUGCAUGGAGCCAUCCUUGAAAUACCACCCUUUAAUGGCUGGUGUUCUAACGUGGGCCCCUAAUCGGGGUUGCGGACAGUGUCUGGUGGGUAGUUUGACUGGGGCGGUCUCCUCCUAAAGAGUAACGGAGGAGCACGAAGGUCAGCUAAUCCUGGUCGGACAUCAGGAGGUUAGUGCAAUGGCAUAAGCUGGCUUGACUGCGAGCGUGACGGCGCGAGCAGGUGCGAAAGCAGGUCAUAGUGAUCCGGUGGUUCUGAAUGGAAGGGCCAUCGCUCAACGGAUAAAAGGUACUCCGGGGAUAACAGGCUGAUACCGCCCAAGAGUUCAUAUCGACGGCGGUGUUUGGCACCUCGAUGUCGGCUCAUCACAUCCUGGGGCUGAAGUAGGUCCCAAGGGUAUGGCUGUUCGCCAUUUAAAGUGGUACGCGAGCUGGGUUUAGAACGUCGUGAGACAGUUCGGUCCCUAUCUGCCGUGGGCGCUGGAGAAUUGAGGGGGGCUGCUCCUAGUACGAGAGGACCGGAGUGGACGCAUCACUGGUGUUCGGGUUGUCAUGCCAAUGGCAUUGCCCGGUAGCUAAAUGCGGAAGAGAUAAGUGCUGAAAGCAUCUAAGCACGAAACUUGCCCCGAGAUGAGUUCUCCCUGACUCCUUGA
rnacentral:rRNA from 1 species